UCUACGGCCCUCGAAAGACUACUUGCCCGUUCUGCUGGGACUAGCACAACAAGGUAGCGUCUUGAGGCACAAAGUGCAGUUCACCUGGAGUAACCAAGAGGAUAAUGCUGAGGAGACGACCAUGUCAGAUGUCUGGUAUGAGGUGCUGCACUUGAUGGCCAUGGUCUGCUUGCAGUAGGCCAACACCCUGCUUCUCCCAAGGUCAUACGGCAAU